rnacentral:rRNA from 1 species
CAGUCGUACCAGCGGAUAAUCAGCCUUUAGAUGCGAUUUUGUGGAGCGUGAAGAGCUAAUCGCCUUUAUGCCUGUAUAUUCGUGUACUUGGGGUGUACUUAUUCGUGUGGUAAGUUAACAUCAAUUUUGGUUGUCAUAAAAUGAUUGGAGGAAUGUAGCUUCGAUCUCGUAUUGAAGUGUUAUAGCCUUCGGUAGAUGUGACGAUCGGGGAUUGAGGAUUGCAACGG